rnacentral:lncRNA from 1 species
GGAACUAGACACAAACCUGGCUGCCUUCGCCAUGGCCUCUGGGAGGGCUACAGCUGAGAAAAUCCGCUGUCAGGAAGAAGUGGAUAGAACUAACAAGACUAUUGAGCUGGCCAACAGAUUAGUGAAAGGUCUGGAGAUUACCUAGUGACCAGCAUAUUCACGGAGCCCUCCAGGAAAGGGACCAGUCGCUCCUUCUCAGAGUAGUGUGAACCCCGUACUCUGAAAGAACGUCCAUGCCUGAGUCUUACUGACUGCGUUUCACUCCACGUGAUGGAGCUUUUGUGCACAAACUACCUGUCGGAACAAGGUCAAGACACAACCAGGCUCCAGGCUCAGAAAGUGUUGGAUCUCUUCCAGUGUUUUCCAUGUCUUUUGCUCUACCCUCUCUGACAUAAUGAAUCUGUGGCCUCCGGAGAGCUUCUACCGGGACUGUAAACACAGCACACC